UUAGGUAUAGAUUUGAAAGGAAGGAAAUGAAUUCAAUGUCAGCCUUGUUCUUUUGGCCGGUGGAAAGUUUGUUUCUAACAUCAUUACAAAGUGAAGUCACCUUUGUUCAACAACUUACUGAUUGGCUGCUUAAUAUCUUUGUUUAGUCUCUAUGUUUUUGUAUCUCACUUCUACCCUCCUUGAUAUAAUUAUCUCUCUUUUUAUCCUUCCCUGUAAGGUCUUGCCCUUAUCUAAAGGUAUAAUUGCUGCACCCCCAUGGGGCUCUCACAGCGCACCUAGCUUUUUAGCCGUCGGAUCUUCAUGUCCUGGUCAAUCUGGUCCGUUGAUUGUUGGCUCACAGCUGCUAGAGAAAUCCAUGCAAUAGACAUGUCCUACCCGUCUGAGGCUGGUCGUGGGUCUCACCAGUGUCUGGGCCCGCCCGUCAGUAUGGUAGGUGAGGUUGGCUUCGGUGCACGAAGACUGGGCCGGACAAAAAAAUCCCCCCGUAGUGAGACAAAAAGGCCUUCUCGUCCAAUCCCCAUCAAACCCUAGCCGCCGCCCCCAAUCCGCUCGUGAGCGAAUCGCCUCGCGACCCUCCCCUUCCCGCACGUCUCAUCUCUCACAUCGCCGCCGGCUCGCCUAUCCCUGCUCCUCUCCGGCGGUUUUGGAGCCGCCGAGGCCGCAGCUGGUCCUCCUCUCCACCCUCUUCUUCGCUUCGGCUGCAGUCGGCGCAUGGAAGGGCGGUACCGGUCGCUGGAGCUCCGAUGGCAGUGGUGCGUGGCGAGAGGAUGACCAGCCGGGCAGCGGACCGAGAGGACGACCAGCAAGCAGCCGGCGGCCGCGGUGGCGGGCUGAAGAAGGCGGCGCUCGGUGCACCAAGUGCGUCUCUCUCCUUCCUCUCUCUCUCUCUCACUCUCUCAUGGCUUGCCCUGUAGGACUGAGGAUAAGGGCACAAAGGGGCUGGAGCAGGUGGCCGGUCCUGCUAUUCCUGGCUGGGGAGGAUAAGGGGGAGGAAGGCAUAAAGGGGUGGGAGCAGGCUCCCGCGCACACAGCCAUGGCGGCUCUUACCGCCGCCGAGCGACUCCGGCGACCAACACCCGGCGUGACGCUCACGACCAGCAUCCUGAGCCAGCUCCUUGGCGUGGCUCCUCCCGUCACUGCUGCUGCUCCUCUAUGGCAAGCAACCUUGUGCAGCUCCUCCUCCUCCUCCUCAAGCAUUUCAGAUUUUAGUUCCUGUAGUUUUUAGCUUUACACCUGCACAUCACCUGUUCGAUUAAGUGCCAUUGAGAAGAAAUCAGGUGGAUUCCUGUAGUUUUUUCAGAUCUAACAACGCAGGUGAUUUUGGGAUUUGCUAAAGUAUCACGCCUUGGAGAUGAGGAGUGUGCUGCACGGUGCAGCAGGUGUGGAUGCAGCGACCACAUGCUUGGCUUGGGGAGCAGCGUGCACAUAAUAAAGUCAUAAACAUCGGCCUAUGUCAAGAUGCCAAUACAGUACCUGACCACCUCCUACAACUGGUUGUACAACUAUGGCAAAUGCAGGUCUAGACUCUGAAUCUUCGCAGAGAAAAUAAGAGUAUAUGAUGACCUACAGGCCUGGAUAGCAAGUUAUAGGAGGCUAUUAAAAGUGCUUUCACUUGAUGAAAACGGGAACCAAGUACAGAAACAAUGAACAAAAUGUACCAGGAACUGCUUUAUAAUCUCCAAACAACAUAUAUGACUUGCUUCGUGUGUGGGCAGAACAAGUUUCUACUCUUUCAUGGAAUGUGCGCUGCUGUUCAAAGUGUGCGCUUUUUUCCAGAUACAAGCUCAAGGUUGAUAUAUAAUCUCUACCGAUAUGCAUGCUCACUUCGUUCAUCACUUCUAUUGGUUGAUUUUUUUUUUUUGGAGGAUGGUGGUAUACAUAAUUGGUGAGACCCCCCAUAAGGCUCCUCUGAUCUCAGCACAUGAUGGCCCUCUGGUUGAGCUCCCAGUAGAUCCCAGCCAUCGUUUCACCGUGUGGAUCCGAGGAUGGUGGUAUACAUAAUUGGUGAGACCCCCCAUAAGGCUCCUCCGAUCUCAGCACAUGAUGGCCUUCUGGUUGAGCUCCCAGUAGAUCCCAGCCAUCGUUUCACCGCGUGGAUCCGAGCCAACGCUUCUCCUCCGAGUUGUGGCUGUAUGUCGGUGCCUCGCCAUGUAACAUGCCAGAGAUAAGAAGACGCCGGUGUGAGUUGGUGACAGUGGAGGCUCAGGAGGAGCGUCAACCGCUGCUCUGCCAGGAGGAGAUGGUCAAGAGGAGCGUGUUGUUGCCAUCACCUGUAGGAGCACCGAGUGCCAGCCGCUGCUCCUACGAAGGAGUGAUGUCACCAUCGCUGUCGACAAAAAUUGAGGUUCCUCUCUAUAUAUGGAGGAGGAGGAGGGCUGUGUGCAUCGUCACGAUGCAGAAGCCGGGGCAUACCCCCAUUUCGAAAAAAAAUAUAUGGAGGAGGAUUCGAAAGGGUUACGUAAUGGUGGGCUUCCAUUUUCUUGGCACCAAGAAGCAUUGAGGAAACCUCAUGCAUCUACUGCUCGUUGCAUUGGCUAUAUUGAUCUACCAACCGGUUCAGAUGACAAGGGAAUGUUGUGGUUCAGGAAAGCAUAUUACCUUGGUCGCACUGGUUAAUAUGACAAUGGAACGUGUCCGGCACAUGAUCAAGAACCAUGAAGAUGCGACUACAGUUUAUCUCAAUUGCGGCCAUUUUUUCAACUCCUUACAACGGCAUGUUGCCAACAUCUGGCAUCUUUGCGGAUUCUGGACUGUAUGGUCGCAGCUCUCGACAAGGAUCUUAUCUAUAUGAUUUAUUUACCUUACCGUCGUGGAUGUCGACGCCACGAGCUUUGUUUCUCUCUCCCCCUCUCUCUUGCAGUCUCCAUAAAUUAAUUUUGCAAUGUAUUGUUGUCUCUUAUAAGGACUAGACACAUAUUUCUUUCGAUUUGUAUUAUAGUGUAUAUUAAGAUUAUUAACAUGUGUUUUUACGGUUAGCAACACACAAUCUUUUCAAGAACCAGGAUGCAUGGUUCAGUUUGUUACUCUGUUUUUAUAAGAGGAUUUUGUGGAUCUCUUACUAAUGUAUAUAGAAAGAUAAUAUGAUGCACCAGAUGUAUUGCAAGCAACAAUAUUAACUUGAUGUUAACAUUACAAUGUAGUAAUUGUAUGGUUUAAAUUGCCAUCAUAGGUUCUUACCAUUCCUCCAUUUCCCCAUAGACCUUUUUGAUUAUAAUAUCCUUCCCUAUGUAGUGCUAAAUAUGGUGUUUUAGAAACCAUCUGGCUUGGCAAGUUAUUUGUAAUUAUAUUUCUUUACUUUGAGGCUUCUAAAUGAUCUGGUGCAAGCAAUAAAUAUUAUUCCAGUUUGAUGUUUGGCAAGUUAUUUGUAAUUAUAUUUCUUUACUUCGAGGCUUCUAAACGCUUACAGGAGUGGCCGCAUCAUAUGGGGUGGAAGCAAAGAAAGAGAUAUGUGGUGUUGCCAGAUACGCUUGAAUUGCCAUGACCAGAUCAAAGCAAGAACAAUGAUAAACAAAAUAAUUGAAUGUAUAAGCUGAGGAAGAGCCAGGAUAAGACCAUGAGCAUGGGCAAGGUGGAAUUGCGCCAUCGCUAUGUUCUUCGACCACAUCGCGCAAGCAGCGUCGACGGGUUCAGCUGCCUCAGGGCUUGCAGCGAUGGGGCAGCACUGCCGUUUAAAGGUGGGCCUCCGGGUAAUUUGGGGACGGGGAUGGUGGAGAUAGGAAGGCGGGCUGCCCGGCAUCAUGGCUAUUGGUCGGACUGAGUGAGAAGGUGUGAGAGAGAAGACAUCCAUGGAUCCACUCAGACUAGAUUGUGGGCCGACCGCUACCACAGCGGUGAAUGGAAUGUGCCUCUUUGUAAUCGUGUUGUUUUGAUAAUCAGCUGUUUGUACUUUUGAAACAUAUAAACCGACUAUUCUACAUGGGAGCUUUUGUUUUGUAGAAUAAGCAAAGGGUCUACAAAAAAAUUCUAACACGAGUUUGAGCUUUGCUUAUUUUAAAAUGUAAAUUUACACGAAUUUUACGGGAUCGUGCGCCAAGGCGCACAUCUAAA